rnacentral:rRNA from 1 species
CGCGCCUAACACAUGCAAGUCGAACGGUUAAAAGCAGUCUUCGGAAUGUGUAUAAAAAGUGGCGAACGGCUGAGUACACGUGGGCAACCUGCCCUUUGCACUGGGAUAGCCUCGGGAAACCGAGGUUAAUACCGGAUACUCCAUAUUUGUCGCAUGGCGAAUAUGGGAAAGCUCCGGCGGCAAAGGAUGGGCCCGCGGCCCGUUAGCUAGUUGGUGGGGUAGUGGCCUACCAAGGCAAUGAUGGGUAGCCGGGUUGAGAGACCGACCGGCCAGAUUGGGACUGAGACACGGCCCAGACUCCUACGGGAGGCAGCAGUGGGGAAUCUUGCACAAUGGGCGAAAGCCUGAUGCAGCGACGCCGCGUGCGGGAUGAAGGCCUUCGGGUUGUAAACCGCUUUCAGCAGGGACGAGGCCGCAAGGUGACGGUACCUGCAGAAGAAGCCCCGGCUAACUACGUGCCAGCAGCCGCGGUAAAU